rnacentral:rRNA from 1 species
AACGAACGCUGGCGGCAGGCCUAACACAUGCAAGUCGAGCGGACCUUUCGGGGUCAGCGGCGGACGGGUGAGUAACGCGUGGGAAUAUGCCCUUCUCUACGGAAUAGUCCUGGGAAACUGGGGGUAAUACCGUAUACGCCCUUUGGGGGAAAGUUUUAUCGGGGAAGGAUUAGCCCGCGUUGGAUUAGGUAGUUGGUGGGGUAAUGGCCUACCAAGCCGACGAUCCAUAGCUGGUUUGAGAGGAUGAUCAGCCACACUGGGACUGAGACACGGCCCAGACUCCUACGGGAGGCAGCAGUGGGGAAUCUUAGACAAUGGGGGCAACCCUGAUCUAGCCAUGCCGCGUGAGUGAUGAAGGCCUUAGGGUUGUAAAGCUCUUUCAGCUGGGAAGAUAAUGACGGUACCAGCAGAAGAAGCCCCGGCUAACUCCGUG